AUGCCCAGCCUGAGGACAGCCCAGGGUCACUGGGACAGAGGGAGGUGCCUCCAGAGGAGCUUCCUGUGUGUGUGUGUGUGCGUGUGUGAGUGUGCUGAUGCACAUAUGUGCUGUGCACACACGCAUGCACACAUUUGUCUACAUGUAUGGUUCUGUGGGUCCCUGUGCGUGUGUGUGCGUGCGUGUGCCAGUGUGUGUGAAGAGGACCAGAGGUUUCUGUUUCUGGUUCUCUGUGACAGUGACUCAGGAAAGUCCCCAGGCACAGGUCAGAGAAGGAGGAAGAAGGCGAGUGACAGGCUUGGUCAUCUGUGGGUAGGCGGCAAGGGACCACAGACCGAUGCCACAGCCCCUGGUCACCAGUGCUGCGGCCUUGGCCUGCUACUUAGCCUCAGUUUCCCCAUCCAGGAAAGAAAAAUAAAACAACAUAGCCACCACGCGCCAGACUUGCACCGCACAGGCGCCGCGUCGCUGACCCAGGGUCAGGGCCAGCAGCCCAGGUCCGCACCUAAGGAAGCCGGCCGCGUUCACACAGGGAGAUGCAAGAAGGUUCCCCGAGGACCAGAGGCCGUCGGGUGGGCAGCUGUGAGCCCCCCGCCCUCGCACUCGCAGCCCCCUGUGGGGGUGUCUGGGCGCCACGUGCAGGCCUGUGUCCCUGGGGGACCAUGUCUUCCCAGUGUCGCGCACGCACGUGUGCACACACACACACACACACACACACACAGCUGCGUCCGUCUCCUGCGUCCCCCUUGGCCUCCAAAUGCCCUGUUCUGGGUUCACAGGGCCCAAGUCAGGGUUGGGGCCCCAUCAGUGCUGGGUCCAGGGAUGCUGCCUCUGUCCCAGCCUCAGGGUGGCCCCCCAAGACCCGGGGCCCACCCCUAGUCGCUUCCUCGAAUCUCCGCACCCUUCCCUCUUCCCAGAGCUGGCGCUUGGCUGUGACUUUUCCCCACGCUCCUGCGCGCCGGCUCUGUGACCUGGCUUCCUCUUCCCCGGGCCUCUGCCCUCUUCCUGCCCCCCUGACCCGCCGGGGCCUUGGCAGCCCCCCAGGACACAAUCACCUCCUCGGGCUGCCCCACCCUGCCCGAUCCCGGCAGCCGGCGGCGCAGUGUGCUUGGCCUCCGGCUCGCUGGGGACCAGGACGACAAGAGCGACCCUCUGCCCGCCCUGUUCUGUGUUCCCUUCUCUUUCAAAUUCUGCCUAAGAAGGAAGGAAAGAGCUCCAGACAUGGCGGGCGCCUGGCAAGGAUGCCUCCUCCUCCUCCUCAGGCAGAAUGUUGGGAUAAGAAGAAAACGUCCUGGGAUUUAUGCAGCCUCGGCCGAGCAACCGUCUCACAUCUGGUGGCUCGUGACACAGCGGCGCACUGAGGCCUGGCGGGAAGCCUUCGUCCACUGGAGAGAGGGGAAACUGAGGCUCGGCACAGCAGGGAGACGCUCAGGGCGGCAGUGGGAGCCAGGGUCAGCUGCCAGGCUGGCAGAGUUCCGUGUGUGCCACCCAUCCUAACUGUGCUCAUUCCUUAAUAUAAACACAACAUGCGCC
rnacentral:lncRNA from 1 species